CCUACGGGUGGCAGCAGUGAGGAAUAUUGGUCAAUGGCCGCAAGGCUGAACCAGCCAAGUCGCGUGAGGGAUGACGGUCCUAUGGAUUGUAAACCUCUUUUGUCAGGGAGCAAAGGGAGCCACGUGUGGCGCUUUGCGAGUACCCGAAGAAAAAGCAUCGGCUAACUCCGUGCCAGCAGCCGCGGUAAUACGGAGGAUGCGAGCGUUAUCCGGAUUUAUUGGGUUUAAAGGGUGCGCGGGCGGAAUGUCAAGUCAGCGGUAAAAUUUCGGGGCUCAACCCCGUCGUGCCGUUGAGACUGGCGUUCUUGAGUGAGCGAGAAGUAUGCGGAAUGCGUGGUGUAGCGGUGAAAUGCAUAGAUAUCACGCAGAACUCCGAUUGCGAAGGCAGCAUACCGGCGCUCAACUGACGCUGAUGCACGAAAGCGUGGGUAUCGAACAGGAUUAGAUACCCUUGUAGUC
rnacentral:rRNA from 1 species